GAUGAAGAACGUAGCGAAAUGCGAUAAGUAAUGCGAAUUGCAGAAUCCGUGAGUCAUCGAAUCUUUGAACGCACAUUGCGCCCUUUGGUAUUCCGAAGGGCAUGCCUGUUCGAGCGUCAUUAUCACUCCUCAAGCCCCGGCUUGGUGUUGGGCUCUCGGUGGUCGUCUCCGACCACCCGUCUCAAAGAUAGUGACGGCGUCCCAGAGGGAACCGGUACGAGGAGCUUUCACGAGCAUGUACGCGGGACGACUCUGCGGGCGACGGUCUUAUUUACUUUAUAUACAAGUGUUGACCUCGGAUCAGGUAGGAAUACCCGCUGAACUUAAGCAUAUCAAUAAGCGGAGGA
rnacentral:misc_RNA from 1 species